AGCCUGCAACAACUUUCCCCAACCCACAUGCCUGUAUUCCUCAAUUCAUUCCUCCACUCAUGGGACUCCUCAGCCCCCAUCUCUCUCCAACAUUCUCCCAGCUCACCACAACCUGCGCCUCCAUCCAUGCCUCCACCUGUAGGGACUGCUCAACCCGCCUUCCUCCCCAACAGCCCCCCAGUUCAUCCCCCCAUCCGUUGGGCCCCAUAGCCUCCUUUUUUCCUCCCUCCCAACACCCCCAGCCCAACGCAACCUGCACCCCACUCUGUCCCUAGAUCUGUGGGCCCUCCAGUGCCCUUUUCUCCUUUCUCCAACAUUCCCCAACCUGCACUCCUAUCCCUACCCUUCCCCCCAGUCCCUCCCACCACCCAUGGGGCCCCUCAGCCUUUCUCUCUCCUUGCUCCCCGACAUGCACCCUUUGUAGGACACAGUCAGGGGUGCUAGGUGUGUAUCCCCACAGGCCAGGUGUCGGGAGCCAUGGAGAAGUAGGGGUGUACGAAAACCAUGCGGGGCAGUGGAUAGUAGAGUAGAGCGGUGACUGAUAGUUUUGCAGAGGAAUCGUCCAGGAGCCCUAGCUGGACAGGAAUAUGGCAGAAGUGGACCUGAGCAGCCUGGACAUCCUUCUAAGGAGACAUGAAUAGUUCUCGUGUUUCUGCCUUCCACAUUAGUGGCUGUGAGUAAGCAGUCAGUGCUUGGAAUUCAUUAUCUGUACUCACUCCAGUUUUGUUCAGAGGCCGUGUGCUUCCUCGUUGAAUAUAGUGCUCUGUGGGAUUAAGGCUGGGGAAGGGACCAGAGUCACAGUUGCCAACUUUCACUGGGUAUAUAAGCACCCCGACUUUCAU